UGUUUUAGAUCAGUUAUGGUUACCAAAAUAAAUUAAAUUUACUAAAUGCCAGAAAACUUAGUGAGAAUAUUUUUUAGUGAUUAUUUUGUAGCAAAUAUUAGAAAAAUAUAUGCACGUUGUAUGGAUGAUGUUAUGGUUCGGGGUCCUUUGGUUCUUCUUUGUGGGUUUUUCUGUGCAUACACUCACCUUUUACGACAGAUGGCGCCAUACUCACCUGACUGGAGUGUGUGUGUAGACCGUCAUCAAGCACACCUGAACCUGAUCAACUCAUCAGCGGCGUGUACUAAAGGAGGCUUCUGCCAGUCCUUCAGCGCCCGAGUGUUAGCCAGUAACGGUACCUCUGAGCCUCCUAGAGCUUGCCUCUGAUCUUUCCUCGUUGUUCUGAAGCCUUUAGUAACUUUCCCUGUUGUUUUUGCCUUCAGGUUUUUUCUUGGUGAAGCCCAGAGAAGCCUUUACAGAUCCUGUCUGUUUCUCUGGUCGAGAUUCCCCUCGUGACGCCGUGGGUCUUACCCACUGGUUGCCCGAGUUCCCAGACUCACCUCCUCCGUCUGACUACAAGUUAGCCCGAGCCUACCUGUCCGCCCUCCGACGCAAUCCUCUGUUUCCCUCCUGGACACCAGCCGUCAAGCACCGGACCACCUGGACCCCUCAAGAGACUAAGACUCCGAACCUUUCAGUAAACUCUCCUAGACCUCGUACCCUCGAACCACAAAGAGCCGAUCGCUCCGUGAACCCGUUUCCUCCCUGGACCAGACCAGAGCUUCCACUACCUUCGCUUGCCGUGUUACAAUAAACCAAUUGUUACCGUA